AAAUUGAAGAGUUUGAUCAUGGCUCAGAUUGAACGCUGGCGGCAGGCCUAACACAUGCAAGUCGAGCGGUAGCACAGAGAGCUUGCUCUCGGGUGACGAGCGGCGGACGGGUGAGUAAUGUCUGGGAAACUGCCUGAUGGAGGGGGAUAACUACUGGAAACGGUAGCUAAUACCGCAUAAUGUCGCAAGACCAAAGUGGGGGACCUUCGGGCCUCAUGCCAUCAGAUGUGCCCAGAUGGGAUUAGCUAGUAGGUGGGGUAACGGCUCACCUAGGCGACGAUCCCUAGCUGGUCUGAGAGGAUGACCAGCCACACUGGAACUGAGACACGGUCCAGACUCCUACGGGAGGCAGCAGUGGGGAAUAUUGCACAAUGGGCGCAAGCCUGAUGCAGCCAUGCCGCGUGUGUGAAGAAGGCCUUCGGGUUGUAAAGCACUUUCAGCGGGGAGGAAGGCGGUGAGGUUAAUAACCUCAUCGAUUGACGUUACCCGCAGAAGAAGCACCGGCUAACUCCGUGCCAGCAGCCGCGGUAAUACGGAGGGUGCAAGCGUUAAUCGGAAUUACUGGGCGUAAAGCGCACGCAGGCGGUCUGUCAAGUCGGAUGUGAAAUCCCCGGGCUCAACCUGGGAACUGCAUUCGAAACUGGCAGGCUAGAGUCUUGUAGAGGGGGGUAGAAUUCCAGGUGUAGCGGUGAAAUGCGUAGAGAUCUGGAGGAAUACCGGUGGCGAAGGCGGCCCCUGGACAAAGACUGACGCUCAGGUGCGAAAGCGUGGGGAGCAAACAGGAUUAGAUACCCUGGUAGUCCACGCCGUAAACGAUGUCGAUUUGGAGGUUGUGCCCUUGAGGCGUGGCUUCCGGAGCUAACGCGUUAAAUCGACCGCCUGGGGAGUACGGCCGCAAGGUUAAAACUCAAAUGAAUUGACGGGGGCCCGCACAAGCGGUGGAGCAUGUGGUUUAAUUCGAUGCAACGCGAAGAACCUUACCUGGUCUUGACAUCCACAGAACUUUCCAGAGAUGGAUUGGUGCCUUCGGGAACUGUGAGACAGGUGCUGCAUGGCUGUCGUCAGCUCGUGUUGUGAAAUGUUGGGUUAAGUCCCGCAACGAGCGCAACCCUUAUCCUUUGUUGCCAGCGGUUAGGCCGGGAACUCAAAGGAGACUGCCAGUGAUAAACUGGAGGAAGGUGGGGAUGACGUCAAGUCAUCAUGGCCCUUACGACCAGGGCUACACACGUGCUACAAUGGCAUAUACAAAGAGAAGCGACCUCGCGAGAGCAAGCGGACCUCAUAAAGUAUGUCGUAGUCCGGAUUGGAGUCUGCAACUCGACUCCAUGAAGUCGGAAUCGCUAGUAAUCGUAGAUCAGAAUGCUACGGUGAAUACGUUCCCGGGCCUUGUACACACCGCCCGUCACACCAUGGGAGUGGGUUGCAAAAGAAGUAGGUAGCUUAACCUUCGGGAGGGCGCUUACCACUUUGUGAUUCAUGACUGGGGUGAAGUCGUAACAAGGUAACCGUAGGGGAACCUGCGGUUGGAUCACCUCCUUA
rnacentral:rRNA from 1 species